AAAAAAAAAAAUUAGCUGGUCGCGGUGGUGCACAUCUGUAGUCCCUACUGCCUGGGAGGCUGAGGUGGGAGGAUUGCUGCUGGGAGUACAAGCAUGUACCACCACACCCAGCUAAUUUUUGUAUUUUUAGUAGAUACAGGGUUUUACCAUGUUGGCCGGGAUGGUCUUGAUCUCCUGACCUCGUGAUCUGCUGCCUCGGCCUCCCAAAGUGCUGGGAUUACAGGCGUGAGCCACAGCACCCGGCCUUUGUUGGUUUUUUGUUUUGUCACACAUUGAGGCCUUGGCAGGUUAGACUUUAGUAAAAAGUCAUGAGAAUUAAUGACAUUUGGGUUUCAACUUAAAAUGAUCUGCCCCAUAGAUUCCCAGAUUUUAUUUCCAAAGCCUUUCUUAAGAAGACAAUUAAUUAAACGUGCAAUAAUAUCUUUAGGAGUUUCUAAAAAGUCUAUUGGAAAUCAUUUUAUAAUAAAGAUAUUAGGAGCCCUCAUGUUUUUGAAAAGUUCUAAAAGUUAUUUUGGUAAAACAUUUUCUCCACUUUAUUUGUUUUGUAAAUCCUAAGUCUUAUGUGUUGGGAAUUUGUUUAGUACUUUAUUUUAAACUUUACAACUUUAUUAUAAACUGAGGAUGCAAGGAACAACAUAUUUUUCUGGGCUUUGCCAGUUAACUCUCUAGCUAACAAAUUUAGGUUUUGGUGAAGCAUGCUUGUUUCUUUUAACUUCCUGAUGGAUAUAACCCACCUUUACUAUGGAGUAUGACUUCUUUUUUUUUUUUUUUUUUUUUUUUUUUUUUUUUUUUUUUUUUUAAAUCCUACAUGAAAACAUAUCUGAAUCAUAUAACAAUAAAAUUAUCUACUACUUAUUCAUCUGAAAAAAGAUGGGUCACUAUUUUUUUCCCACAUUGGAAAAGAAACAGCCAUACUCACAAUGAUUACUUCCAGAAUUUUGAAUUUAAUCUUUGAUAAAGUGAAAACAGGAUAAAGCAGUCAUGCUUGGCCAGGUGCGGUGGCUCACGCCUGUAAACCCNNNNNNNNNNGCCUCCCAAAGUGCUGAGAUUACAGGUGUGAGCUACCGUGCCCGGCCAGUUUAAUCUAUUUUUUAAAUGAACUUUAUUUUUUUAGAGUAGUUUAAGAUUUACAGAAAAAUUGUGAAGAUAGUGCAAAGAAGUCUCA
rnacentral:lncRNA from 1 species